rnacentral:snRNA from 1 species
GCACUCGCUUCGGGAGCACAUAUACUAAAAUUGGAACGAUACAGAGAAGAUUAGCGUGGCCCCUGUGCAAGGAUGACAUGCAAAUUUGUGAAGCGUUCUGUAUUUUA